rnacentral:rRNA from 1 species
GACGAACGCUGGCGGCGUGCUUAACACAUGCAAGUCGAACGGAAAGGCCUGUCCUUCCUUGUGUUGGACGGGUACUCGAGUGGCGAACGGGUGAGUAACACGUGAGUGAUCUGCCCCCAACUUGGGUAUAAGCCUGGGAAACUGGGUCUAAUUCCCGAUAGGACUGCAGGGUGGUGCCUGUGGUGGAAAACGAUUUUCUAGUGGUUGGGGAUGAGCUCGCGGCUUAUCAGCUUGUUGGUGGGGUAAUGGCCUACCAAGGCGGCGACGGGUAGCCGGCCUGGGAGGGUGGACGGCCACAUUGGGACUGAGAUACGGCCCAGACUCCUACGGGAGGCAGCAGUGGGGAAUAUUGCACAAUGGGCGGAAGCCUGAUGCAGCGACGCCGCGUGGGGGAUGACGGCCUUCGGGUUGUAAACUCCUUUCGACCGCGAGGAAGCCGCCUGGUUGGAAGGGUGGUGACGGUAGUGGUAGAAGAAGCACCGGCUAACUACGUG